rnacentral:snoRNA from 1 species
UGCCUGUGAUGAAUUGCCAUGCUAAUGGGAGACACCAGGUAGGGAGUUUUACCCUGCAUUGGGUGUUGUUGAAAUAAACUCUUUCUCAGAAAUGCUGAGGGCAC